CCGGACGUGCCGGCUGAGGGGCCGGCGGCGCUCAGGGCGCGCGUUUGUUUACUGCUCGGGUGUCGCUCCUGUCGGCGAGGAGCUGCUGAGCCGAGCAGGGGAAGGCAGUUCGUAGAGGUGGAGAUGAGAUUCUCGGCUCUUCUGACCAUUCCCGCGUGAUGAAUUACCACCGCUAGCAUUCCUAAAGCUUAACAGCGCUUUCUACUUGGUUAACUUCGCUAUUGCUUUUCUAUUUCUUACUAUUCCCUUCAACUUUUUUUGAUUUCACCUCUUUUAAAUUUUAAAAUCAACACUUUCCUUGCCGGUUGCUUUGCUAAAUAUCGUCUGAAACUUCAGAAAUCUAAAGAAAUGCUUUCUAUAGAGAAGGUUGCGCAGACACUGCAGUAUCAGGUGAAGGAAAUGUGUGGGGGAUUAGAAAAGGCCGGUGGCAGAUCAGUUUCCAGUAGGGCAAAGCCAGAAAGCCUCUUAAGCGUCAGAGAUAUAAAAUAUGCCAGAGUCCCUUGUUAACGACCCACAGGGCCUGCUUCUUUCUUUGUUCCUUUUGUUAGAACUGGAAAACGGACAGAAGGACUUCUGCUGCGAACACAUGCAGCCCCUUCAAGUCUCAGCAAGGAAGGGAAGCAGCGGUCGUUAAAGCAGGAAGAACAAAGCACAAUGAAACCAUCUUUGCCAACCUGAAUUACGCAGGUCAGGACUGCAAUACAAGAGAACUUUCUGCUGCGUGGGCCCGAACAGGAUCUGGGGAGGAGAAGAACGGUAGCAGCAACUUUUUACUGGCACCAGUCCUUGAUUUCUUAUCACUAGAACUGGAAAAGGGCCUGAAAGAUGCCAGCCAUUUAGUUAAGUUACUGUAGCAAACAGGAUUACCAUGAGUAAAUGUGUAUGAAGUGGAGCAGGCGCAUUGCUAAGCAUGAAGAAGCACUAUGAGGAGUUCCUCAUGAAGAUUCAAGAUCGCUGUAUAAGUGCUGAGCACAAGUAGUUUUACACAAAAUGAAUAAUAGAGCUAUCCGUUAAAA